rnacentral:lncRNA from 1 species
CUCAAUUGAUGUUGCUUUCUUAUCCAUAGCUGUGAGAAGAAGGCUGAGUUAUAUUCAUCUCUGCUGCUGGCUUUGGAUGAACUGGACAAGAAUUACAGCACCAUGAGAAAGGAAAUAAACAUGGGCACGCCUUUAAAUGAACUUCCACCACUGUCAGUUGAGCUGAAGUUUCCCCCCCUCUCUUCCUUCUACAUUGCCUCCAAGUUUUUCAGAAAGAUUCUUUACUCUGAGCAGGUACAUGACAGAACACGUUCAGCGACCCCAUCCAGUGACUCUCUGUAAGUGGAGAUGAAAACAAAUCUGGCAGUAAGUUUUUACUGAACUGGGUUAACUGCCAGACACUGCUUGAAGUUUCCUGUUGAGCAUGAGUGAAGUUAAUCAAGAAAAAGCAAAGGCAGUUGUUUUGUUUUGUAAAAAUUAGUCAAAGUUGCACAGGUGUUUUAAAUUGUAAGGAAUACAUCUGAACAUCACACAGAAAACCAUUAAGAUAUAAUGAAAAUAGCCAAAAUGUAUUAAUUAUGUUAAUUUUACUGUGAGCUUCUGGAAAUAUUUGAAUUACUGUAGAACUUAAAAUUGUUGUCCCAUAUUUUGUAUGAAAUUCUUGGAUGUGUUUUAGUGAUCUUUCAGGUGAAGGGAAAGCUGACUUUGAAGAACCAAAACAGCAAGAAAAGGGGAUUUCUGUCAAUAUGGACAACUCACAGACUGAUGGUGAUCAGCCAGGUGAUUCUGCUUCCCCUGAGAGGUGGGAAGAACUGAUUAAAGAUCAGGCUCUGGAACGUGAAGUGAAGAUAGUGGUGAGUGGGAAGGAACAUUCCUCUGUUCCUGUCAGUGACCCAAAGCCCUCAGUGCCUGAGGAUCCUGGCGAAAAUUCCCUGCAGAAAACAUCCACUUGUUCCUCUGUGAAGUCAUCUUGUAUCUUUGUUUCUCCUUAUGCACUGAACUUGAGCAGCUUUACCAAGUUAGUAAGGAGACUUCAAGAAAAGCAUCCCGAGUUCAGCAGAGCUGAAAUUGUGGGGGCUGUGCAGGAGGUGAGGAGAAUGAACAAAGGAGUGCUGAGUGGCCUGGCCAUCAGUGCUAUUGAGGAGAAGGCCUCUGCCAUUCUGAGGAGUUCCACACCCUACUCUCAGUUGGAGGAGCCCUGAGAAAGGCCCAAAGUUCUGAGUGCUCCCUGCAUUUUGGAUUCCAACAUCUGGAGUGCUUCGCUGCUGAACUGUGUGGAGAGCACAGUCACACACCUUCGGUGCACAGCUGACACCUACCGGCCAGGCCUUGUGUAGCCUCUGAUCCAUCCAGAAAUCCCAGCCCUGGCUCCCUUCUGCAUCCCAGCACUGAUGGUUCCUGUCUGGGGGCUCCUUUCUGCAUCCCAGCACUGAUGGUUCCUGUCUGGGGGCUCCUUUCUGCAUCCCAGCACUGAUGGUUUCUGGGCUGGAAACCUGACACAACCAGACUGUGCCUAGUCUUUUUCUCACACCAAUCCCUUUUGCACAAUCUCAUGGCACUGCAGGAAGCUGCAGCGAGCUGAAGGUGUGAAAUCACAGCCCAGAAUCCCAAAAAUUGUGUCUGUCCAUCCUUGCUUUGGGUACCUCCUAGCAGUGCCACUGCCAGGUUUCCUGCAGAAAGGAAAAAGUCUUUGUGUUAAUCUCCUGUCUGACUUUCACAGGGCUGCAGAUAGGGACAGGAACUCACCCCCGAAAUGUUAAAAUCUUAUGUUUGAAAGCGUUUUCAGUCAGUAAGGUUUUAACAGCCUUGAAAUGUGUUGUGCUUUCCUUGUGGAGUGAUUGUUAGGUUUUCCAGUGGUGCGUGGGCUCCGUAGUCCUAAUUGUUCCUAUUACAGUAUGUUUUUCCUGCUGUUUUUGUAUGGGAGAUGAUGACUUAUAAUAAUUUUAUUUUCCUCAUGAGGGAGGUGUGAAAUGGCCAAGUCAUUACUAAAUAAUGGGGAGAAAAAGAAUCCCCAUUUUCUAUAUUAAGGAACAAGUACACAAUACAUGUAAGAGAAGGUGAUUCUGCUCAGAGCUCACCUACAGUUACUCAGUCUCUCUGUUGUACUUUGUUCUAGACCCUGCUGCAAUUGUUGCUGGAAAGAACAGCCUUGUUUACUGUCAAUAAAGGUUAACAUUUGUUCUUCA